UACGUAGGGGGCCAGCGUUGUCCGGAAUCAUUGGGCGUAAAGCGCGCGUAGGCGGCCAGAUAAGUCCGGUGUGAAAGUCCGGGGCUCAACUCCGGAUCUGCGGUGGGUACGGGCAGACUAGAGUGUGGUAGGGGAGACUGGAAUUCCUGGUGUAGCAGUGAAAUGCGUAGAUAUCUGGAGGAACAUCAGUGGCGAAGGCGACACCCUGGACUCAUACUGACACUGAGGUGCGAAAAGCGUGGGGAGCAAACAGG
rnacentral:rRNA from 1 species